GCCGGGGUCGCCGAUCCCUCCGGCUGGGCUGGCCGGGCGCUGCCGAGGAUGCCCGCCGAGAGCGCCCCGGGACCCGAGUCUCAGAAGCCCUUUGUGAGCCUUUCCCACGCGCCUUCUAACCCUGCACGAGCUCAGGUGGUCUUUCGUGUGUUUUCCAGGUGGAGGUAAAGGCAAAGGUGACUUGUCCAAGCCCAGAGGAAGGUCAAGACUGCCACACUCCAUUACAUCACCACUGACUCUGGAAAAGAGGAUUCCGAGUAAUAAUAGGGUCCUGAAUCAAGAGUGAUCCCAGCCCCUUCCUGCUCAGUUACAGCAGAGGCCUCCUUUUAAGUCCAGUCUCCCAGCAGCCUCUCUGCUAAGCUUGACUUCAUGGAUGCUUCUUCCUUGAACAGUAUCUUCAUGCUCCAAGCCUCAGUCUCCUGCCUUAAAUUUCCCUCUGCCUGCUGAUCAUAGCCCAGGCGAAAAUACCAAGAGGACACAAUCAUAGUUCAGACUAAAGGCAAAUAACCCUGAGUCGUACAUCACAACCCCAUCUGGACCUUUCUCCAGAUGAGGUAAGAAAAAGUCAGCACAGAUUUCUUCAAAGUGUUCAUGUUGUUUUAAAAAUAUAUAAUCCUAACAGUUCACACUGAAAAAGAUUCUGAGAGAAGACU